rnacentral:rRNA from 1 species
CCUACGGUAGGCAGCAGUGAGGAAUUUUCCGCAAUGGGCGAAAGCCUGACGGAGCAAUACCGCGUGAGGGAUGAAGGAUUUUGGUCUGUAAACCUCUUUUCUCAAGAAAGAAGUUCUGACGGUACUUGAGGAAUAAGCAUCGGCUAACUCCGUGCCAGCAGCCGCGGUAAUACGGGGGAUGCAAGCGUUAUCCGGAAUGAUUGGGCGUAAAGCGCCUGUAGGUUGUUUAUUAAGUCCGUUGUUAAAGCCUAGGGCUUAACCCUAGAAAAGCAAUGGAAACUAGUAGACUAGAGUAUGGCAGGGGUAGAGGGAAUUUCUAGUGUAGCGGUGAAAUGCGUAGAUAUUAGAAAGAACACCGGUGGCGAAAGCGCUCUACUGGACCAUUACUGACACUCAGAGGCGAAAGCUAGGGUAGCAAAAGGGAUUAGAUACCCCUGUAGUCCUAGCCGUAAACGAUGGAUACUAGAUGUUGUGCAUUAUGUACAGUAUCGUAGCUAACGCGUUAAGUAUCCCGCCUGGGGAGUACGCUCGCAAGGGUGAAACUUAAAGGAAUUGACGG